rnacentral:lncRNA from 1 species
GGUUAUGAUGAAGCCCUAUAUGACAUUCCCUUGGCCUCUAGGCCCCCUAUCUUCUUACACAAUAAUUUAUGCUAUCCUGAUAUAUGCCGCUAUCUCCAUACAUGUGAUGUUGCAUAAUGUACUUCAGUGUCAUAAUUAUUGCUGCUAUCUCUUCCAGAUAAAAGAUGCCUCCCCCUUUUGUGAAGGAUGUAUCGCUUUCCCUCGCUCCAAUGUUAGAUACCUACCUGUUUUGUAGAUACUUUAUAUUUUGUGUUUUUAUGAUAUGCAUUCCCUAAUAUGUUGUAGGCUCUGCAUUUGCAUAAUAACUUUAGUGUUUUUGUUUUUUGUUUGGUUUAUUUUCGGUAUUAUUACAAGAUGUUGUUUAAUAUAUAUUCCUACUUCUUUGACUCCUAUUUUGUUUUAGACCCC